UACAGAGGGUGCAAGCGUUAAUCGGAAUUACUGGGCGUAAAGCGUGCGUAGACGGUUACAUAAGUCGGGUGUGAAAGCCCCGGGCUCAACCUGGGAAUGGCAGUGGAUACUGGACAGCUAGAGUGCGGUAGAGGGUAGUGGAAUUCCCGGUGUAGCAGUGAAAUGCGUAGAGAUCGGGAGGAACACCAGUGGCGAAGGCGGCUACCUGGACCAGCACUGACACUGAAGCACGAAAGCGUGGGGAGCAAACAGG
rnacentral:rRNA from 1 species